rnacentral:tRNA from 1 species
GGAGAGAUGUCUGAGUGGUCGAAGGUGCUCGCCUGGAACGCGGGUGUGCGGUAACACGCACCGAGGGUUCGAAUCCCUCUCUCUCCGCCA